rnacentral:tRNA from 1 species
CAGAAGAUAGUUUAAAGUAAAAUAUUAAUUUUGGGAAUUGAUGAUGAGGUAUUCCUUUCUUCUGA